rnacentral:misc_RNA from 1 species
UUUCCGUAGGUGAACCUGCGGAGGGAUCAUUAACGAGUUAUGGGCCCUUAGGCUCCCAACUUUCAACCCUUUGCUUACAACCUUUUGUUGCUUUGGCGGUGCGAACGAGUCUCAUCUCCCCCCGCCGGCUUCCUUCGGUGCGCUCUCACCCAGAGAUUUUUCAAAACCUUCUUUAUAACGUAUCAGUCUAAAGCAAAAAAUUUUAAAUCGCAAAAACACUUUCAUCAACUGAACUCAUGGUUUUGGCAUCGAUCAAGAACGCAGCAGAUCGGAAGAGAA